rnacentral:rRNA from 1 species
UACGAAGGGGGCUAGCGUUGCUCGGAAUCACUGGGCGUAAAGCGCACGUAGGCGGAUUGCUAAGUCAGGGGUGAAAUCCUGGAGCUCAACUCCAGAACUGCCUUUGAUACUGGCAACCUUGAGUCCGGGAGAGGUGAGUGGAACUGCGAGUGUAGAGGUGAAAUUCGUAGAUAUUCGCAAGAACACCAAUUGCGAAGGCAGCUCACUACACAAUCAUUGACGCUGAGGCACGAAAGCGUGGGGAUCAAACAGG